AGUGAGGAGUUGGAGCUGGUUUACACCGCCUUCCUCAACAGCCAGGUCCCCAGUCUGUGGGCGGCCGCCGCCUACCCCUCCCUCAAACCCCUGGGGAGCUGGGUCAAUGACCUGAUUUAUCGCUGCUCCUUCAUUGAUAACUGGGUCAGACAUGGUCAGCCUCGCUCCUACUGGAUGUCUGGAUUUUUCUUCCCACAAGGUUUCCUGACUGGCACGCUACAGAACUACGCCAGGAAGUAUAACCUGCCGAUCGAUCACCUGACCUUCCACUUCCAUCCACUCCCUCACUUCCGUGAGCAGAAGGAGGUCACUGCACAGAUGGCCGAACUCAAGUUUGGGGAGGAGAUUGAGCUUGAUAAAGGGCUGCCGAACCCCGAGGAUGGAGUGUUGGUCCACGGGAUGUUCAUGGACGGGUGUCGCUGGGACGAGAAAGAGAUGGUGGUCACAGACUCCAUUAAGGGCGUGAUGAACUCCGCCCUCUGUAUGUUCCACAUGGAGCCCAAGAUGGACUUUGUCCCUGACCCUGCUGACUAUAUCGCACCGCUGUACAAGACGUCAGCCAGGGCCGGUGUUCUCUCCACAACUGGUCACUCCACCAACUUUGUUGUGUUUGUACAUCUGCCGUCCAAACAGCCGCAGGAUUACUGGAUCUCUAAAGGUGCUGCCCUCUUGUGUCAGCUCAGUGAAUAAAGGGCAGACAACUCUUAACACUACUCUAUUGUGAUGGAAGUUGAUUUGUGAACACAGCAUUUUUGUGUAUAUUUAUGUUAUGAACUUUAAAAGUUAUGAUUCCGCUAUUAUUCCGUCCUUGACCUUAAUAAUAUUAUUACUAUUUAUUAUUUAUGUUACAAAAACUGUGAUAAUAUGGAGGUAUUCGAGUGCAUUUCCAGUUUGAUUUUUUUUUGGUGUAUUAAACAUGUAUUUACAAUGGAUUUAUUUUUGUAUGUAUAUUAUUUUUUACCUUUUUUUGUUGACAUUAAAUGUUAUUAUUUCUUCUCCUAAGUGCAAAUUGUACGUUAAUGGCCUUUUUCAGAACUGUAUCUAUUUUCACUGAAGACAUAUAGUUUAUUAUGUAAUGAGGGACUUCUUUAUCUGAUUCCAAGUCUAAGUGUGCCUUUGUUACAACUUUUUUGUUGGUUAGAUAUAUCUUUUUAUUAGUUAUAACAAUUCAGUACAAUGUACAAUCAUUGUGGGAACGGACCCCAUUUUGCCUUUGCUGUGAAUUUCACUUAAUCUUCAAGCAGGAUAUAUUGUACACUGAAAUUCAUCAAGCAUUCCUAAAGAUUGUGAUAAUUUGGUUGUGAAGUUUGCCUAUUGUCAUGUUGUAAAAUUAUUUGACCAAUAAAUGUUUCAUUAUAAAGU
rnacentral:misc_RNA from 1 species